rnacentral:lncRNA from 1 species
AGAUUACUGAAUGAGUCUGGCUCUUUAAAUUAUGCUUACUGAACUCUAUGAUUGCUGAGGACAGCAACUAGGACUGGAAGAAAUUGUCUGCUGAGAUAAGUGGUAGAAAAGCCCUCUCAUGGUCCCACCCAGACUCCUCCUCAUCUUCCAAUGUGCACUGGAGACUCAAACCACACCAUGACCCUGUUAGCAGCAUAGGGACAUUCCAGAAUGGUCCUCUUCAGUGAUAAAGAGGGAAUGCAUCUGAGGCCUACCAACCUAAUGUAUGCAGGCUACAUGGACUGCUUCCUAGAUGUAAGCAGUUCUGGGACAUGUAUACCCAUAGGAAGACAGGAGUGAGCAACAGCCACUCAAAG